rnacentral:rRNA from 1 species
GAUGAACGCUGGCGGCGUGCCUAAUACAUGCAAGUCGAGCGAACGGACGAGAAGCUUGCUUCUCUGAUGUUAGCGGCGGACGGGUGAGUAACACGUGGAUAACCUACCUAUAAGACUGGGAUAACUUCGGGAAACCGGAGCUAAUACCGGAUAAUAUUUUGAACCGCAUGGUUCAAAAGUGAAAGACGGUCUUGCUGUCACUUAUAGAUGGAUCCGCGCUGCAUUAGCUAGUUGGUAAGGUAACGGCUUACCAAGGCAACGAUGCAUAGCCGACCUGAGAGGGUGAUCGGCCACACUGGAACUGCGACACGGUCCAGACUCCUACGGGAGGCAGCAGUAGGGAAUCUUCCGCAAUGGGCGAAAGCCUGACGGAGCAACGCCGCGUGAGUGAUGAAGGCCUUCGGAUCGUAAAACUCUGUUAUUAGGGAAGAACAUAUGUGUAAGUAACUGUGCACAUCUUGACGGUACCUAAUCAGAAAGCCACGGCUAACUACGUG